ensembl:lncRNA
GUGAGAUGCUUGGCUUUGUCUUUCUUCUAGAACAUUCUGUCCUUUCAUUUCCAGAUUUUAAAAAUAGAGGAUUUCGGAAUGUGGAUUCUGGGUUUCUCUGUUCCUUCUUGAUUCUGAAAAAAGCCCCGUCUCCAGCACCACCUCCCCUGUGCUUCUCUUCUGAUGCUUGGAUGGAGGUGUUCAGGCACCUACUGAAGAUAGAUACAAUUGUGGUGAUGCUGGAUAUUUUAAAUCUGUUUUUAUUCCCGAAGGGAUCUUCCUGACCCAGGGAUCGAACUUGAGUACUUUUGCAUUGGCAGAUGGGUUCUUUACCACUGAGCCACCUGGGGAGCCCCUCUGAGGGAAUCUGGAAAACCUGUUGCUGCUGCUAAGUCACUUCAGUCGUGUCCGACUCUGUGCGACCCCAUAGACGGCAGCCCACCAGGUUCCACUGUCCCUGAGAUUCUCCAGGCAAGAACACUGGAGUGGGUUGCCAUUUCCUUCUCCAAAGCAUGAAAGUGAAAAGUGAAAGUGAAGUCUCUCAGUCAUGUCUGACUCUUAGCGACCCCAUGGACUGCAGCCUACCAGGCUCCUCCAUCCAUGGGAUUUUCCAGGCGACUGACACCACCUCCAACUCCAGGCCUGGCUAAAUCAGAUUGGGAUUCCAGGUGGCAUGAGUAGUGAAGAACCCACUCGACAAGGCAGGAGUUGCCAGAGAUGCAGGAGUUGCCAGAGACACCUGUUUGAUCCCUGGGCUGAGAAGAUCCCCUGAAGAAGGGAAUGGCAACCCACUCCAGUAUUCCUGUUUGGGAAAUCCCAUGGACAGAGGAGCCUGGCAGUUCAUGGGGUCGCAAAGAGUCUGGCAUGACUGUACACUCAUGCACCCUGGAUCUUUGCUGGCACUGUCAGAAAAAGGUGCCCUUUUUCUGCUGAGCUUGCUGAACUGGUCAUCUGUGAGCUUGAACUUGUGAUUAACAUCCUUCUCCACUUGUUGGGGAAGCCUGCUUUAAUUAGCACAGAUGAGAGAGAGACAUGGCAUAUCUCAGCAUUAGGACCUCUAGACCCACCCAUUCCUGGGCUUGUAAAGUACAGAAUUAACACAUUCCUUUUUUAAAAGAAGUUUUUAGGGAUAGGUUUUCUGUCACUUGCAUUUUAUAUCUCCUUUUUAGAGCUCUUUGUUUAAAAGUUUAUGGUGGAAAUUAAAUUCUUUUUUAUAAAUUUUUAUUUUGAUACCUUGUAGGUGAUAGUCAUGAUCUUAAAUCCUAGAUAC